ensembl:lncRNA novel transcript, sense intronic to GMPS
UUUUUUUUUUUUUUUUUUUUUUUUGACACAGAGUCUUGCUCUGUCACCCAGGCUGGAGUGCAGUGAUGUGAUCUCCACUCACUGGGUUUCAUCAUGUUAGCCAGGUUGGUCUCGAUCUCCUGACCUUGUGAUCCACCCGCCUCAGCCUCCCAAAGUGCUGGGAUUACAGGCGUGAGCCACCGUGCCCGGCCUCCUGAUGACUUAGCUGGGCUCACCUCUGUUUCUUCCCUUGAAGCCUUGGGAUGUCUUCCUGUUCUAUGAGAAAUUCCUUGAGACACACUGGGAAUCCCUUUCCCUUAAGGAAAAGCUUUUCUGCAACUUUAUGUGACUCAAUAUGAAUUAACAUAAUAUUAACAAUGGCAAUGAUAGUUGUGUCAUUGGACUAGUGGAAUUUUAAGAUAUUAAUAUUUAAGAUAUAUUGUAAUUUCAGAGAUGCGUGGCUUCUUUCACUUGGCAAGUUUGAAAUGAUUCAUUUAUGUUUUGGGGAUUUUUCAGCCAGAAAGGACAGCAUACCACUCUGGAGCAAUAGAGAAUUUUAAAAGAGCAGUUUGGCUAAAGAGUAGGCCAGGUUCUUAUAGGUCUUGGGAAAUAUUUUGAGCUUUAUUGAACAGUCUAAGGGGAAGUCACUGUAAGGUUUUGAGCAAAGGAAGAUUUGAAUCUGAUUUUUUUUUUCUUUCUUUUAAGCACACUGGCAUGUUAUCCAAACUCAGUAUCACCAGUAAUGGAACAAAAUGACAUUGUGUCUUUGCAUUGUAUCAUAUCAAGAGGAGGCAUGAUAACAUUACCAAUGUAAAUUUCUUGUCAAAUGUUUAUCUAGAAUCUGAUCAUGAUACAACAAAGAGAUCCAGUGUGGGACAUUCUACAAAAAGCUGGUCUGAUCUUUAAAAAAGGUCAAUGCCAUAAAAGACUAUAAAAAGAGUUGCUUUAAUGUGAAGUAUUUUCCUGGAGUCACUUCCUUUGGGACGUUGCCAUUCUUUCC